UUAACUUUUGUUUGUUUUUCAGACUAAUUCAUGAUAAAAAAAGGGUUUUUGGUUGGCCCCAUUGGCGCAGCGGUGAAGCGUACGCCGAGGCAACAGAAGGUACUAUAAAGGCAAGGGUUCUAUCUCGAUAGGGCCGGAGCCCCACGAUAAUGAUCCUUCCGCAGGUUCACCUACGGAAA
rnacentral:misc_RNA from 1 species